UGGCGGACGGGUGAGUAACGCGUGGAUAACCUGCCUUAUACAGGGGGAUAACAGGGAGAAAUUCUUGCUAAUACCCCAUAGGUAUGUCUGACGCAUGUUGGACAUAUUAAAGCUUUGGCGGUAUAAGAUGGGUCCGCGUCUGAUUAGCUAGUUGGUGGGGUAAAGGCCCACCAAGGCGACGAUCAGUAGCCGGCUUGAGAGAGUGGACGGCCACAUUGGGACUGAGACACGGCCCAAACUCCUACGGGAGGCAGCAGUGGGGAAUAUUGCACAAUGGGGGAAACCCUGAUGCAGCGACGCCGCGUGAAGGAAGAAGGUCUUCGGAUCGUAAACUUCUAUCAGCAGGGAAGAAGGAAGUGACAGUACCUGAGUAAGAAGCCCCGGCUAACUACGUGCCAGCAGCCGCGGUAAUACGUAGGGGGCGAGCGUUAUCCGGAAUUACUGGGUGU
rnacentral:rRNA from 1 species